CCGCGGCCUAUCAGCUUGUUGGUGAGGUAAUGGCCCACCAAGGCGAUUACAGGUACGGGCUCUGAGAGGAGAAGCCCGGAGAUGGGUACUGAGACAAGGACCCAGGCCCUAUGGGGCGCAGCAGGCGAGAAAACUUUGCAAUGUGCGAAAGCACGACAAGGUUAAUCCGAGUGAUUUCUGCUAAAGGAAUCUUUUACCAGUUCUAAAAAUACUGGCGAAUAAGGGGUGGGCAAGUUCUGGUGUCAGCCGCCGCGGUAAAACCAGCACCUCAAGUGGUCAGGAGGAUUAUUGGGCCUAAAGCAUCCGUAGCCGGCUCUGUAAGUUUUCGGUUAAAUCUAUAUGCUCAACGUAUAGGCUGCCGAAAAUACUGCACAGCUAGGGAAUGGGAGAGGUAGACGGUACUCGGUAGGAAGGGGUAAAAUCCUUUGAUCUAUCGAUGACCACCUGUGGCGAAGGCGGUCUACCAGAACAUGU
rnacentral:rRNA from 2 species